rnacentral:rRNA from 1 species
AUAAAUGACUCUCGGCAACGGAUA